GACGAACGCUGGCGGCGUGCUUAACACAUGCAAGUCGAACGGAAAGGCCCCCUUGUGGGGUACUCGAGUGGCGAACGGGUGAGUAACACGUGAGUAACCUACCCUUGACUUUGGGAUAACUUCAGGAAACUGGGGCUAAUACCGGAUAGGAGCUCCUGCUGCAUGGUGGGGGUUGGAAAGUUUCGGCGGUUGGGGAUGGACUCGCGGCUUAUCAGCUUGUUGGUGGGGUAGUGGCUCACCAAGGCUUUGACGGGUAGCCGGCCUGAGAGGGUGACCGGCCACAUUGGGACUGAGAUACGGCCCAGACUCCUACGGGAGGCAGCAGUGGGGAAUAUUGCACAAUGGGCGGAAGCCUGAUGCAGCAACGCCGCGUGCGGGAUGACGGCCUUCGGGUUGUAAACCGCUUUCGCCUGUGAUGAAGCGUGAGUGACGGUAAUGGGUAAAGAAGCACCGGCUAACUACGUG
rnacentral:rRNA from 1 species